GGAAUUUUCCGCAAUGGGCGAAAGCCUGACGGAGCAACGCCGCGUGAGGGAUGAAGGCCUCUGGGCUGUAAACCUCUUUUAUCAAGGAAGAAGAUCUGACGGUACUUGAUGGAUAAGCCACGGCUAAUUCCGUGCCAGCGGCCGCGGUAAUACGGGAGUGGCAAGCGUUAUCCGGAAUUAUUGGGCGUAAAGCGUCCGCAGGCGGUCUGUCAAGUCUGCUGUUAAAGCGUGGAGCUCAACUCCAUUUCGGCAGUGGAAACUGACAGACUAGAGUGUGGUAGGGGCAGAGGGAAUUCCCGGUGUAGCGGUGAAAUGCGUAGAUAUCGGGAAGAACACCAGUGGCGAAGGCGCUCUGCUGGGCCAUAACUGACGCUCAUGGACGAAAGCCAGGGGAGCGAAAGGGAUUAGAUACCCCAGUAGUC
rnacentral:rRNA from 1 species